UGUAAUCAAGAAAGUCAUUUAACGUAUCAUGUCACCCUCCCUUUUAGUGAACUAACAUCUGAAUGAUCAGGCAGCAGUGGUGGGACCCAAAGCAUACAGAGACCAUGAGAAACGCAAUGAUGGCACCCUGGAAACCCUUUUUGAGUUCACUGCCUUUCUCACUAUCUCCAAAGGCUGCUGAUUGUGGCACUUGUAGAUGAAGUUCACUCUGCUUCUGCAAUAAAAAAAGGCCUUUCACUGUCGGACUUUCACCAUCCUGAUUUCCUCCCAACAUGACAACCAUCUACUCCUGCAUUGUAAAUUAAGGAAGUAUUCCUAAAUUUAGAAAUUCCGAAAGUGAAUAUGUGCCUGCCUCAGCGGAAUACAGAGAACCUGUCAACUGUAUUGUGUUUCGUGUUCGACUGCCACAAAGAAACCCUGAUGAGGAGUAGUAGGUAGAGCCAGAGCGGAUGGAAACAGGCAGCCCUGUCUCCGAAGCCAUUGGGAGGGAGGGAAGAGGACCGCCAGAAAAUCAGCCCUGGAGCAAAUAUCCCACAGGAGGUCCCCAGCAGCCCUUCCUCAACUGCCACAGUACUGUCUCUGACCCCUUCCUCAUCCUCUCUUUUACUCCAAAUUUGAAGACUUGCCUUUGUGACAUUAACAAUCACCAAGGACAUAGAACACAAGAGCAACC